rnacentral:rRNA from 1 species
UACGAAAGGUCCAAGCGUUACUCGGAAUUACUGGGCGUAAAGCGCGCGUAGGCGGCCUUGUAUGUCGAUUGUGAAAGCCCCGGGCUCAACCUGGGAACUGCAGUCGAAACUGCAAGGCUUGAAUGUUGGAGAGGUUGGGGGAAUACCUAGUGGAGAAGUGAAAUUCGUAGAGAUUAGGUGGAACACCAGAGGCGAAGGCGCCUGACUGGCCAAACAUUGACGCUGAGGCGCGAAAGCGUGGGUAGCAAACAGG